UCACUUCUUCCUACUUCUCCUUUUCUCCUCUCUUCAUUUUUUUGAGUUGAUCACUUCAAUGGAGGGUUAAUUUCGAAUUCAAUUCAAGGAUUCUAAGGAUUAUGGUAAAUUUAAGUUCCUUUUUCUUAAUUGAGAAUCUAUAUUUUUUUUUCUGUUUUCAGUUUCUAAAGUUCAAUUCUUGAUUAUGAUUAGGUUUUGGAAAUUGAUUGAGGAUUAGGAUUGAUGAAUCCAAUUGUGAGAUUAGGUGAUCGAUUGGUUGGUUGCCUAUGCCAAUAUGUUUUUGUGCCUGAAUUCAUGUUAAUUAGGAAAUACCAUGGUGUUUUCAGUUUUCA
rnacentral:lncRNA from 1 species